AGUGAACGCUGGCGGCGUGCCUAAUACAUGCAAGUCGAACGAGUGGCGCACGGGUGAGUAAUGUCUGGGAAACUGCCUGAUGGAGGGGGAUAACUACUGGAAACGGUAGCUAAUACCGCAUACCAUCGGAUGUGCCCAGAUGGGAUUAGCUAGUAGGUGGGGUAACGGCUCACCUAGGCGACGAUCCCUAGCUGGUCUGAGAGGAUGACCAGCCACACUGGAACUGAGACACGGUCCAGACUCCUACGGGAGGCAGCAGUGGGGAAUAUUGCACAAUGGGCGCAAGCCUGAUGCAGCCAUGCCGCGUGUAUGAAGAAGGCCUUCGGGUUGUAAAGUACUUUCAGCGGGGAGGCGUUACCCGCAGAAGAAGCACCGGCUAACUCCGUGCCAGCAGCCGCGGUAAUUC
rnacentral:rRNA from 1 species